rfam:Cricetulus griseus cell line CHO-K1, whole genome shotgun sequence.
GCCACACUCAAAAUGGAGGCGCUCUCCAGGCCUUGGGAAGGGGAAAGUGCUUCCAUUUUGUGUGUUGC